rnacentral:misc_RNA from 1 species
UACAGAGGCCCCAAGCGUUACCCGGAAUUACUGGGCGUAAAGAGUGCGUAGGUGGUCGUAUUAGUCGUUUGUUAAAGACCCGGGCUCAACCCGGGGAUUGCGGGCGAAACGGUACGACUCGAGGGCGUGAGAGGUACAUGGAACUCAUGGUGUAGGGGUGAAAUCCGUUGAUAUCAUGGGGAACACCGAAAGCGAAGGCAAUGUACUGGCGCGUUCCUGACACUCAAGCACGAAAGCGUGGGUAGCGAACGGG